rnacentral:rRNA from 1 species
UAACGAAUCUUCCGCAAUGGGCGCAAGCCUGACGGAGCAAUGCCGCGUGUGGGAUGAAGCGUCUCUGACGUGUAAACCACUGUCAGGGGUUAGAAACAAUGAUCAACCCCAAAGGAAGUGGCGACUAACUCUGUGCCAGCAGUCGCGGUAAUACAGAGGCCACAAGCGUUAGUCGGAAUCACUGGGCUUAAAGGGUGCGUAGGCUGGUCCGCAAGCGUCUUGUGAAAGCCCUCGGCUCAACCGAGGAACAGCAGGGCGAACUGCGGAUCUUGAGGCAGGUAGGGGUCGCGAGAACAGUAGGUGGAGCGGUGAAAUGCGUAGAUAUCUACUGGAAUGCCGAUGGUGAAGACGCGCGACUGGGCCUGUCCUGACGCUGAGGCACGAAAGCGUGGGGAGCAAACAGGAUUAGAUACCCCCGUAGUCCCUGAGCGGGCUGGCAAGGCGCAU